GGGGGGGGGGGGGGGGGGGGGGGGGGGGGGCGGGGCGGGGGGGGGGGGGGUGGUUGGGUGGGGUGCUGGGGUGGCGGGCGGGUGGGUGGCCGGGGUGUGGCCUGGCCUGGGGUUUGGGAUAACUUCCGGGCACUGGGGCUGAUCCCGUGUAUGAGCGCCUGCUGCCUUGUGGUGGUUGGACCGUGUCGGCGGUUGGGUAUGGACUCGCGGCUGAUCAGCUUGUUGGUGGGGUAGUGGCUUACCAAGGCUUGGACGGGUAGCCGGCCUGAGAGGGUGACCGGCCGCAUUGGGACUGAGAGACGGCCCAGACUCCUACGGGAGGCAGCAGUGGGGAAUAUUGCACAAUGGGCGGAAGCCUGAUGCAGCAACGCCGCGUGCGGGAGGACGGCCUUCGGGUUGUAAACCGCUUUCGCCUGUGACGAAGCGUGAGUGACGGUAAUGGGUAAAGAAGCACCGGCUAACUACGUG
rnacentral:rRNA from 1 species